rnacentral:sRNA from 1 species
GUGCCCCGCUCCCUGCUCAACUGCAGGGAAGCCAAGCAGGUCUGCCCAUACUCUGCAGAACAAGCCAGAAGAUUUCCAGUGUGGGGUCGCCUGGUGGAGCAGUUUCAGCCCCAAAGGAGAGGACGGCACUAGGCCAGGGGCAGAUGAGAAGAAGAAGUGAGAGUCUGUGGAAACAGCCAUAUGGGGGAGCUGGGGGUCCCUCGGGUGCCCGCUGCUGUUUGCAGCCUCCAACUCAGGCAUGCUUGGUGCACAGUUGCAGGGACGCAACUCAGGCCGUUCUCUAGGGUGCCCUUCCCUCUCCAGCCACCUCUUCCCAUGUCCCCAGCUUUUGUUUUGAUCCUGUUUUUCACUCCAGUACAUCGACGCCAUUAGCAACAAGCAGGGCGAGCUGGAGAAUUACGUGUCCGACGGCUACAAGACCGCACUGACAGAGGAGCGCAGACGCUUCUGCUUCCUGGUGGAGAAGCAGUGCGCCGUGGCCAAGAACUCGGCAGCCUACCACUCCAAGGGCAAGGAGCUGCUGGCACAGAAGCUGCCGCUGUGGCAACAGGCUUGUGCCGACCCCAGCAAGAUCCCGGAGCGCGCCGUGCAGCUGAUGCAGCA